GAUGAACGCUAGCGGGAGGCCUAACACAUGCAAGCCGAGCGGUAGAGUUCCUUCGGGAACUUGAGAGCGGCGUACGGGUGCGUAACACGUGUGCAACCUACCUUUAUCUGGGGGAUAGCCUUUCGAAAGGAAGAUUAAUACCCCAUAAUAUAAUGAUUGGCAUCAAUUAUUAUUGAAAACUCCGGUGGAUAGAGAUGGGCACGCGCAAGAUUAGAUAGUUGGUAAGGUAACUGCUCACCAAGUCAAUGAUCUUUAGGGGUCCUGAGAGGGAGAUCCCCCAGACUGGUACUGGGCCACAGACCAUACGCCAAGGGGCAGUAGGGGUGAUGAGUAUUGGGCCAUGGGUGAAAGCCUGAUCCGCCGAGCCCGCGUGAAAGAUGACCGGCUUGUGGAUUGUAGACUUCUGUGGAGCAGGGUGAAACCUACGCUCAUGAGAGUAGCUGAAGGUACUGUACGAAUAAGCACCGGCUAACUCCGUG
rnacentral:rRNA from 1 species